ensembl:lncRNA
CAAAGGGUUGACUGAUGUGCUUUCACUCUCUACCAGGAAACAAGGUAUGGUGCCAUACAGAAAGCCAAAUCCCACUGCCCUAAAAAUCUACCUCAUCCCAAAUUCUUCCCUGGUCAUAAAUCCCUGACUAAGAGAAAGCAGCCAUCAGAGUUUCCAAGGAAUAUCUGGUUCAGGAAAUGACCUGAGAAUUUAUUCCAGUGAUCACUCGUGAAGAUUGUCGUGAAACUGGUGAAAGAAAGUAUGUUAUAUUCUAUUCUCUUGUCACCCACCUUCUGGGAUUUACCAUCAACUACAUUUUCUGGAAAUGAAUAACAUUUUUGGAUGUAAUGUAGGAAUCUGUGGCAAAGCUUUUGUCUCCUG